rnacentral:lncRNA from 1 species
UGAUAACUGACUUGCUGUCCAAGAAAAAGAACCCCUCGGGAGGCAUCCAGGUGAGGAGCACCAGAGCUGCUGAUGGCCGAAACAGGUUUGGGAUGGAUCGUGACUUAUUAGGAAUAAAAAAAAAAAAAGAAACAAAGAAAGAAACCCAGCGUAUUUCAUUCUGGCUGUUUAAAAGACUUCAUGAGGGCUUAAAAUGACAGCAGUGAACAUCAGAUGGUAGCAAUCUGGUACCUUUCCUGUCAAGUGACAAGCUGUUCUAAAAUCCAGAAGUGCUUUAGGUCCACUUUAUAAUGGAGCUAAUAUUUUUUUUAAAAAUUGGACACGUAACAUUUGGUUCAGGAGAGCUUUGUAAUGUACUUGGGAGAGUCAUUUGCAUGUGUUCCACCUAUUUACAGUAUUUUAUAUGGACUCAGCAUUCAUUAGAAAAAAAAUGCUACUACCAACAAUGACCAAGUAUGAAGUCAGUGACUUUGCUGAAUUAAAAAGGCCCUAGCAAGUGUACUUCUACCAUAAUUUAGUGCAAAAGUACUUCAGGGAGUUAUUUCAUACCUAAAUUGGUCGUGCCUGCUCUAACCAACUUACCCCAGGAUUUUCUUUUGAAAUCUUCCAUUUUUAAUUAGGAAUCAUCUGAAUUAUCAUGUAGGAGAGAGAGAAAGAAGGAAAAGGAAGGAAGAAUGGAUAGAGAGAAAAAGAACCUUCAAAAUAUCUCUAGAAGUAGUAGCCCUGUUCUUACCAACUUGGCUGUUUCCACCCUGGUCCAAGGCACCACCAUCUUGGGCCUGACUUCCUACAGUAGCCUACUAAGGUUCUCAGGGUUUCUACCCUGACCACUCUACUUUACCUGGGUAAAAUAAAAAUAUAGAUCCUUUUGUUUAAAAAUAUAUGAAAGUAAAUGUCAUUGAAGUACAAAAAUAUAAAAUGUUUUCCUUUCUUUCAUGACAUUCAGUUUGUCGUGGCAUUUUUUACUUGCUACUCAAUAUCAUGCUUCCAAGGAUGUGGGAAUCCUCGCAAGGUGAGUACAGACCCUGAAGGUGAUGGAGCACCAUCUCACACACAGAGCAGUGAUAGCAGCACACCUCCACAAGGUGCUGCAGAAAGACAAUCGCCCUUUCCCGUGGACCUGCAACCCCAACCCAUGGAUGGGAGGUCCCCAAGGAUAUAAAGGAAGAGCCAAAUAUUUCCUGUGCUCACAAGAAAGGAAAGGAGGAGGUAGGUCCAGAUUAAGCCAGCAGAGAUUUGGUUAAACUUUGAGUUUGUUUUUUUUCAAAACCAUCAUUUUCCUCUAGUAAUUUUGUCAUUUUCUAUCUAAUUUAUCCUUCAAUCAAUAACUACCAAGGGUAGAAAAUGUCAGAGAAAAUGUCAGAGAAGUUGAAACAAAAAAAUAUAUAUAAAUGUGAAAUAUAAUGUUAUACUUAGAUAUUUUAUGUAAACACCUCAUGUUUUAAAUUAUUUGGAAUCUCUUGAAUGAUUCUUAUGAUAAUUCUAAAUUAGUCUCAAAGCAUCUUCACAUUUUUUUAAUGGUCAUACAAGUCUCAGCUGUUUCGCUACAAGAAAUUCUUAUUUAAUAGAACACAGGUGGAAAUUUUGAAUUUACAGCUAUGCAUUACAAGUAUUUGUUGAGUCAAGUACUAGUUGCACAACUUUUUUCUUUUCUAACAAUUCUUAUGCCCACAUUGAGGGCAUCAAAAGGGGAAGAGACAGGAAUCUGUGAGAAGACAAACUGCAGAGAGCUGUUGGUGGCCAUGAAUCCCCAUUUUCUGCCUCGCACAGGGAAGGCUAAGGAAUGUGCCUCCAGGUCCAGGCUUGCUGAGCCUACCUUGCACCAGACUCUAGCUCGAGUGGAACCUUGUUAGAGUCUGUAAACAAGUCUGGAUGGCGCCUGGCAAAAUGCCAGAGGGAGUGGUUUGUGAAGUAAACCAGCGAGCCAUUAAGUGUGGAGAUUCCUUAUUGGUAGACUGCUGUAUCGAGUUUAUGUUAAUUAAGAUAAGCUGUGUGGAAUGUAUAAAUACCUCUGUUGUCCU